rnacentral:rRNA from 1 species
UACAUGGGGUGCAAACGUUGCUCGGAAUUAUUGGGCGUAAAGCGCGCGUAGGUGGUUACCUAAGUCGGAUGUGAAAGCCCUCGGCUUAACUGAGGAAGUGCACCCGAAACUGGGUAGCUAGAGUACUAAAGAGGGUCGCGGAAUUCCCGGUGUAGAGGUGAAAUUCGUAGAUAUCGGGAGGAACACCGGUGGCGAAGGCGGCGAUCUGGACGAUGACUGACGCUGAGACGCGAAAGCGUGGGGAGCAAACAGG